GCUUUUAAUUUUAGCAUCCGAUUCUUCAAAACAAAUGUAAAAUAAAGAUUCCAAUUUUAACUUCAUCUCUCAUCUGGGUCGUUCUCAAUUUCCUCAUCUGGGGUUCGUCUUCCUUUUCACCUCAUUCCUCUCAUUCUCUCGUAUUCCAUUUUUUUUUUAAAUUGUCCUUAUAGUUUUUCCAUCAAUUGGGGUGUUGAAAGAAGGAAAAGAAAAUGUUUUUGGUUUUUAUCUUCAUUCUCUUCCUCGGUUUUUUUUUUGUUGGGGUGGUGACGGUUGUGGUUGCCGAAGCUUUGGGAAUCUUGUGGAUCAUUGAACGGGCCAUGAAGGACAAAGACAAAAUCUCAGCACCCGUCUCAUUGGACACUAGUUCGCAAAAUGAUCCUAUCAAUCACCUGACUCUACCUUCGAAAAAGAGGGUGUGAUUUGGGUUCUAGAACAAUACAAGGUAUCAAAGUUCUGGCUGGAAAAGUAAGCUAAAGAUCAUAAAAGGAAAAGGGAGGUACUGGAGGUUAGCCCUGUUAAGAAGCAUGGGAAGAUCAAGGGUGAGUCACUUAUUUUCACAGAGCAUGAUGGUUCGGAGACAGCCAUUUGGCUGAAGGGAUGUGUUGUUGAGGCUGUUUCAUCAUCCAGCCUUCCUUCUAAAAAAUGGUAAUGUGAUGCAGGAAGUCACUUUCGUGAUUGCGUGGGGGCAAAAAGAUACCCGAUAAAAGUUGAAAACAACAAAUCUGUGGUAUACCAUGGAAGCAAAUUGCUUUACAUAUAUCUUGAGACGUCAUGGGAAAAUGAAGCAUGGUGUAAGUCCCUCCGUAUGGCUUCACGCGAUCAGAGUGAAAAACUUAAGUGGUCUAGUCAGUUGUACGAAGAGUGUCAUCGAAAUCUAGCAUCACUAAAUAUUGAAUAUCAUCCUUUUAUCAUGAGACCAUCAGCAGGAUCAAGUUUUGAUGCCUUAGAAAAGUCCAGUAAGCCUGAUGGAUCUUCCUCCAGAGUUCCUCAAUUUUUGAGUAGAAUUACUAAAAAACCGACUUCAUUCCUUUGCGCAGUUGUCAUGAGAUUAACAUUGGUGUUUUAUUUUAUUUUUAAAGAGAAAUCCUCACUGAAACCUUUCCUUGAUUGUGGUUUCUAUAAGAUAAAUGUUAGCCCUUUCUAUUUUUGGACAGAGGGUAUUGACCAAUGUGAGAACACCUACUUAUUUUGGUGAAGUUAUCUGUACAGACAUCAAUAUGGGGACUACUCCACCCUCUAUCGUUGCAAUGAGGGUUCUUCCUAUGGAAAUGAAUGAUGUAUGCACCUUUGAGGCAGAUAUUGAAUAUUCUGGAGGUGCAGUAGUAGAGAUUGAAACAAGGCUUGAAGUUGGUGAACCACAGAACGAUAAGGGGACGGAAUGCUCAAGCAAUGCUGGGGCUGCCCCGUCAGAUCUUGAAGAUCUUAGCAAUCAGUUGAAUCUUGGAGAUGGAGUGAAUGAUUCACAAGAGCCAAAGUAGAUGUCAAUGGGAACACUGGUUCCUCUCACUUUGGCAAUAAGGAUAGUAUCCCUCAAAGGGACAAUGCGUUUACAACUAAAGCCCCCUCCUUCUGAUAAUUUGUGGUAUGGUUUCACAUUAAUGCCUGAUAUAGACUUCAACCUGGAAUCA